rnacentral:lncRNA from 1 species
UUGGAUUGCUGUGCUGUGGCGGCGAAUCCAGAGGAGCUUCGGAGGGUGGAGAAUUUCGUGAUGGUGUACCGGCGACGGCGAAGAGGGUUUUGGGGGUUUCGUGAGAUGACUUGAAAUACGGUGAGGGUUUCUGUUUUCUUUCGUUAACAGAGAGAGAAGAGUGAGGAUUUGUGUUGUCGACUUGAAGUCACGGGUUGGAGGUGGAUCGACGN